AUUUUAAUAAUUUAAAAAAAAUACUGGUCUUGUAAACCAGCUUUAAGAUUUAAUCUUUUAAAAUA
rnacentral:tRNA from 1 species